rnacentral:lncRNA from 12 species
UAAUUUCCCAGUGUUGUCUUUGGGAGUAUGUCUAAGGGUUUAGACUCCCAGCUGCUCUCUCUUGACUGGCAGCUUCUCAGGGAGAGGUCAGUCACUCCCUACUGGUGACAUCCUUAAUGUUCAGUUUGUACAAGAAGGAAACUGUAUGGUGGUGUGCAAAAUUGCUCAAGUAUCCUGGUGACUC